rnacentral:rRNA from 1 species
UACGUAGGGGGCUAGCGUUGUCCGGAUUUAUUGGGCGUAAAGCGCACGUAGGCGGAUUGCUAAGUCAGGGGUGAAAUCCUGGAGCUCAACUCCAGAACUGCCUUUGAUACUGGCGAUCUCGAGUCCGGGAGAGGUGAGUGGAACUGCGAGUGUAGAGGUGAAAUUCGUAGAUAUUCGCAAGAACACCAGUGGCGAAGGCGGCUCACUGGCCCGGUACUGACGCUGAGGUGCGAAAGCGUGGGGAGCAAACAGG